UCCCUGGUGGCUCAGAUGGUAAAGCAUCUGCCUACAAUGCAGGAGACCCAGGUUUAAUCCCUGGGUCUGGAA
rnacentral:tRNA from 1 species